ACGAAGGGGGCUAGCGUUGCUCGGAAUCACUGGGCGUAAAGCGCACGUAGGCGGCUUUCUAAGUCAGGGGUGAAAUCCUGGAGCUCAACUCCAGAACUGCCUUUGAUACUGGGUGUCUUGAGUAUGGAAGAGGUGAGUGGAAUUCCGAGUGUAGAGGUGAAAUUCGUAGAUAUUCGGAGGAACACCAGUGGCGAAGGCGGCUCACUGGUCCAUUACUGACGCUGAGGUGCGAAAGCGUGGGGAGCAAACAGGA
rnacentral:rRNA from 1 species